ensembl:snoRNA
UUUGUCUACAACCUAAGGUUUGAGAGAAUAGAUCAGAAUGUAAUGGGUCAGUGGUGCCAACAGCAAGUGCAUCUCCUUGCCUUUGGGGGGUUGGGCGGUGUCCCUCUGAGUGAAUUUGGGGGUUCUACACGG